rnacentral:rRNA from 1 species
CCUACGGGUGGCUGCAGUCGAGAAUCUUCGGCAAUGAGCGCAAGCUUGACCGAGCGACGCCGCGUGCGGGAUGAAGGCCCUCGGGUUGUAAACCGCUGUCAGUGGGGAGGAAGGUCUGGUGAAGAGCCAGAUUUGACCUAUCCGCAGAGGAAGUGUGGGCUAAGUCCGUGCCAGCAGCCGCGGUAAGACGGACCACACAAACGUUAUUCGGAAUCACUGGGCUUAAAGGGUGCGUAGGCUGUGCAGAAAGUUGGGUGUGAAAUACCUCGGCUCAA